rnacentral:lncRNA from 1 species
AAGAUCAAGAGGUAUAGAUCUAUACCUUCACUUUAUUCUUAACUUAAAUGUUUUAGAUGCAUUAUAUAUAAACCUAUGAACCUUGAAGGGGAUUUGCAUGACUAUAGCUUUGAUAUUAUUUGAUAAAUUGCUUCCGUUGCUCAUGUAUAUAAAUCUUGAAUUGUAUAUGCAUGCUAGUCAUUUAGAAAUCCCAUGUGUUAAACUCAUAUUUUUCCCUUCAAGUGGUAUCAGAGCCAAAGGUUUAUGUAUAAUGUGUCCUUUUGGAUUUAUGCAUAUGGGUAUUAAUAUUAUGCAUGACAUAAUUAUUGCUUCAUUCAAAAUAUGUUUAUCUUUUGUUUUUCAAUAGUUGAAAAAUGUUAGUCAA